rnacentral:rRNA from 1 species
UCCAGCCAUGCCGCGUGUGUGAAGAAGGCCUUUUGGUUGUAAAGCACUUUAAGCGAGGAGGAGGCUACUCUAGUUAAUACCUAGGGAUAGUGGACGUUACUCGCAGAAUAAGCACCGGCUAACUCUGUGCCAGCAGCCGCGGUAAUACAGAGGGUGCGAGCGUUAAUCGGAUUUACUGGGCGUAAAGCGUGCGUAGGCGGCUUUUUAAGUCGGAUGUGAAAUCCCUGAGCUUAACUUAGGAAUUGCAUUCGAUACUGGGAAGCUAGAGUAUGGGAGAGGAUGGUAGAAUUCCAGGUGUAGCGGUGAAAUGCGUAGAGAUCUGGAGGAAUACCGAUGGCGAAGGCAGCCAUCUGGCCUAAUACUGACGCUGAGGUACGAAAGCAUGGGGAGCAAACAGGAUUAGAUACCCUGGUAGUCCAUGCCGUAAACGAUGUCUACUAGCCGUUGGGGCCUUUGAGGCUUUAGUGGCGCAGCUAACGCGAUAAGUAGACCGCCUGGGGAGUACGGUCGCAAGACUAAAACUCAAAUGAAUUGACGGGGGCCCGCACAAGCGGUGGAGCAUGUGGUUUAAUUCGAUGCAACGCGAAGAACCUUACCUGGUCUUGACAUAGUGAGAACUUUCCAGAGAUGGAUUGGUGCCUUCGGGAACUUACAUACAGGUGCUGCAUGGCUGUCGA